CUGUGCAUUUAUUCCAACGUGUUUUUGCAUUCUUGGUAAAUCGUGCCACCACAAUUUUUGGCGUUGUCGUUAACGGAGCUCCAAGGACCGGAGUUUGUCCGCAGCGAUCGACUUUUUUCAGACGACCACUGGACAAUGGGAAAAGAAGGUUUUUUCUGAGAAAGCUGACCUGUCUUCCUCUGCUGAUCGUGUCCGGGUUGUGAUCUGUCCUUACUUAGGCCGCUGUGGGUGACCUUUGGGACUGGAGCUGAAAAGAACCUGUCUGUGCCAGAAACAUGACCUGGGCCAGACCGAUGAUGGACAGCGAUGCCGAGACCAGAAGACUAUAUAAAGGCCAGCGCUCAGAAGAUCAUCCACAGCCCAGCACCAUGAAGGCGAGAUAACGUUGUCAUUUCUGCCUGUUUGCCUAAAACCUCCCCACCCCCCACCCCACAACAAUUUUCAACAUGCAACAGCAGCGAAGACCUUGGAACCGCAUGAGUGAUAUCUUUCCAGCACUGUGGAGAAGACUGAGAAAGUUGCCGUUUAAACUCACUGCUGGCCGAGAUCAGGAAAUUAAUGUGAUAAUUUAUCAAACGAGUUUAGAGUUCCAUUUUACCUUUUUUCUAUUCUUGAUUUAGUUUUAUUUGUAACACCUGGCAUUGUGCCAAGCAGUGCUGACUCAACUACAUGUUUAAAAUAAGAAUAUUAAUAAUUUUACCCAAUAAACAGGUAUAAUUAUGAUAA